rnacentral:lncRNA from 1 species
UGCUGAAUGUGGUUUGUGUACAUCUAAAAACAGCUGUGAUAAGAUCUUAUGAACAUCACACUUGCUCCGCUACUGGUGUCAACUCAGCAGAUGAUUUGCAUAAACGGGGUAGGUGACUGAUGAUAAACUGAUAAUGGUUGGUUUGUAUUUAUAAUAGCACCUCAGCUCCCACUUAAAAUACAGCACCCACAGUCUAAACAGUGAAACCUAUGCAUUAACACUGUAAAAGCAGGUAACAGCAUGUGGUGACAGAGCAACUGAUGCAGUGUGAAAGAUGUUAUCUCCACACCGAGGCUGUGGACUCUCCCCUCUGACCGAGGGUGAGCAGCCUGACAUGGAACACCGAGAAAGUGUCGGGGGAACUUUGUGGCAGGAUUAAUUUUAGGUGGAGGACGUCACACUUUCUGUUCCACGAUGGACAGGAUUUAUAGCGGACGCGGAGCGGAGAGAAGAUCACAGCAACAUCAGCAUCACCUUCAGCUGACAGCAUCAUGAAGACUCUCUGCCUCUGCCUGGGCCUGCUGCUGCUCACCGCCUCCUGCUGUUACACAGCCCUGGCUCCAUACAACAUGUUGGCAACCUGUUGCACUGACGUGACUACAAUAAAAGUGCCUCCAAAGUUGAUCAGGAAAAUAUCCAAGACCCACAGCACAUGUUUAAACAAAGCCUUCAUAAUCACGACUGCUGCAGGGAGAAAGAUCUGCUACAGUCAGAUGAAUGAGUGGGCUAUAAAAAUCUAUAAGCAGUAUCACCAGUAAACAGUAAUAAGCUUUUCUGUACCGCACCAUGAUAAAUGCCUGUUUCUGCAGGUACAAAUGUGUCUGAACUUGUUUUUUACAUUCAAAAUAAACAAGAGAAAGAAAUAAAAGAAUUUUUGUUC